GCACUAAAUGUUUAAGCUGAGCUUGCUGC
rnacentral:piRNA from 1 species